UCGUCACACUAUCAUUAACUGAAUCCAUAGGUUAAUGAGGCGAACCGGGGGAACUGAAACAUCUAAGUACCCCGAGGAAAAGAAAUCAACCGAGAUUCCCCCAGUAGCGGCGAGCGAACGGGGAGGAGCCCAGAGCCUGAAUCAGCAUGUGUGUUAGUGGAAGCGUCUGGAAAGGCGCGCGAUACAGGGUGACAGCCCCGUACACAAAAGCGCAUGUGCUGUGAGCUCGAUGAGUAGGGCGGGACACGUGGUAUCCUGUCUGAAUAUGGGGGGACCAUCCUCCAAGGCUAAAUACUCCUGACUGACCGAUAGUGAACCAGUACCGUGAGGGAAAGGCGAAAAGAACCCCGGCGAGGGGAGUGAAAAAGAACCUGAAACCGUGUACGUACAAGCAGUGGGAGCACAGGUUUACCUGUGUGACUGCGUACCUUUUGUAUAAUGGGUCAGCGACUUAUAUUCUGUAGCAAGGUUAACCGAAUAGGGGAGCCGGAGGGAAACCGAGUCUUAAUUGGGCGUUAAGUUGCAGGGUAUAGACCCGAAACCCGGUGAUCUAGCCAUGGGCAGGUUGAAGGUUGGGUAACACUAACUGGAGGACCGAACCGACUAAUGUUGAAAAAUUAGCGGAUGACCUGUGGCUGGGGGUGAAAGGCCAAUCAAACCGGGAGAUAGCUGGUUCUCCCCGAAAGCUAUUUAGGUAGCGCCUCGUGAAUUCAUCUCCGGGGGUAGAGCACUGUUUCGGCUAGGGGGCCAUCCCGGCUUACCAACCCGAUGCAAACUGCGAAUACCGGAGAAUGUUAUCACGGGAGACACACGGCGGGUGCUAACGUCCGUCGUGAAGAGGGAAACAACCCAGACCGCCAGCUAAGGUCCCAAAGUCAUGGUUAAGUGGGAAACGAUGUGGGAAGGCCCAGACAGCCAGGAUGUUGGCUUAGAAGCAGCCAUCAUUUAAAGAAAGCGUAAUAGCUCACUGGUCGAGUCGGCCUGCGCGGAAGAUGUAACGGGGCUAAACCAUGCACCGAAGCUGCGGCAGCGA
rnacentral:rRNA from 7 species